CUCGUAGGCGGUUCAACAAGUCGGUCGUGAAAGCCCGGGGCUCAACCCCGGGACGCCGGUCGAAACUGUUGUGACUAGGGUCCGGUAGAGGUGAGUGGAAUUCUCGGUGUAGCGGUGGAAUGCGCAGAUAUCGAGAGGAACACCAGUAGCGAAGGCGGCUCACUGGGCCGGUACCGACGCUGAGGAGCGAAAGCAUGGGGAGCAAACAGGAUUAGAUACCCUGGUAGUCC
rnacentral:rRNA from 1 species